ACCUGAGGACCCCCACUGGAAAAAACAACACCACCACCAACACCACCAAGAGAAAGAAAAAAAAAAAAAGGAAAAAAUCUCCAAUCUCCUACAAAACCCCCCAAAAAAAACCCCGGGAGUGAGGACGUGUGCGGAAUGUUUGGGAAUGAGAGGAUGCUGAGGAUGAGUGAGUGAGGCUCGGAACAAAAAUCCCAACGUUUGGUGAGAACCCCGGCAUCCAGGAGGGAAUUCUGUGCCCCAAAAAUUCCAAGGAAAACACCAAAAACAACAACAAAAAAAAAAUAGCAGGGGGAAAGAAAAAACCAAACCUGAAAAUUCCCAGGAGCGGCUCAGAGGUGAAAAUGAGGGAAAAACGGGGAAAAUUGGGAUUCAAGUGGUGCUCUGUGAGGUUUUGGCUGCUGGAGAGAGAGAGAGAGAGAGAGGUGGAAAAUUGGGCAGGAUUUGCUCCUCAAUUCUUGGAGGUUUUAUUUUUGUUCAUUAAUUUUAUUUUUUCUUUUAUUUUUUCUCUUUUUUUCAAUUUUUUCCCUUUUUUUCCCUUUAUUUUUCUUUUAUUUUUCCAUUUUCCUUUAAUUUUUUCCACUUUUUUCUUUUAAUUUUUUAAUUUUUUUUCAUUUUUUUCUUAAAUUUUCAUUGAUUUUUCCCUUUAUUCUUUAUUUUUUUCUUGAUUUUUUCUUUUAAUUUUUUUCCUGUUCCCAUUUUUCUUUUCUCCAUUUUCAUUUUUCUUUAUUCCUUUCAUUUUUCCUUAUUUAUUUUUCCUUUUCUAUUUUUAUUUACCUUUUUUCUUUAUUUUUUCCCGUUUUCUUCAUUUUAUCACCACUUCUUUUAAUCUUUCUCAUUUUUAUUUAUUUUAACUCCCCCAUUUUUCUUCAUUCAUCCAUUUUUCUUCAAUUUUUAUCCCAUUUUCUUUAAUAUAUUUCCUUUUUUCCAAUGUUUCCUUUUUUCCCUUCUUUUUUCCAUUUCUUUUAAUUUUUUCCCUUUUUCCAAUUUUUCUUUUUUCCCAUUUAUUUUAAUUGUUAAUUUCAAUCCCCCAUCCCUUCCCAUUUCUAAUUUCACCCCUUAUUUUUUCCCCCUUUUCUCCCCCCAUUUCCCCCACUUCCAAAUUAUUUUUAUUUUUCUCCUCCAACAUUUUUUUUUUGCUAAAAAAUUCCAUUUUUCCUCCUCCUCAUCCCUUUUAAUUCCCUUUUCGCUCCCUCCCAGCGCUGCCCCAGCUCGUACAGGGUAUCAGACAUGAAUGUGCCUUCAGUGCUCUGCCCAACGCGCAGAACCGACAAAAACAACCCAAAAUCCGCCCAGAAAAACCCAAAAUCCACCCAAAAAACCCCAAAAAUCCCAGGUAAAACACAAAAAAAACCCCCCCGAGGAUCCCGUUCCCAGCGUUGCCUUUUUUCUUUUGAUUUCGGGGCGGGGGGCGGCGAUUCCCAAAGGUGGAAGAAAACAAAAAAAAAAAAGAAAAUUUGAGAAAAACAAAAAAAUUUAAAAAUCUAAAAAUUAAUAAUUAAAAAAAAAAAGUCGUUUCCGGUCGGGAGGAGCCGAUUUCCGGUUCUGGUUGUUUCCGGUUCCGGUUUGUGUUUCCGGUUCCGGUUUGCAGUUCCGGUUCCGGUUGUAUUUCCGGUUCCGGUUGUUUCCGGUUCCGGUUGUUUCCGGUUCCGCUCCCGGCUGAGGCAGCGCAGAAUAAACACUGAGAGUAGUGCA
rnacentral:lncRNA from 1 species